UGGGGAAUAUUGCACAAUGGGCGAAAGCCUGAUGCAGCGACGCCGCGUGAAGGAUGAAGUAUUUCGGUAUGUAAACUUCUAUCAGCAGGGAAGAAAAUGACGGUACCUGACUAAGAAGCCCCGGCUAACUACGUGCCAGCAGCCGCGGUAAUACGUAGGGGGCAAGCGUUAUCCGGAUUUACUGGGUGUAAAGGGAGCGUAGACGGCGAUGCAAGCCAGAUGUGAAAGCCCGGGGCUCAACCCCGGGACUGCAUUUGGAACUGUGUGGCUGGAGUGUCGGAGAGGCAAGUGGAAUUCCUAGUG
rnacentral:rRNA from 1 species